AUGGUGUAUAUUUUUUUAACUUUCAGAACAAAGAGUACAGGCUGAACCUGGUGACCAAGAAAUGCAACGUAACGGUUCCCUCGCAUCCGUUCUGGAAGACAGGCGUUGUCCCGGGCUCCAAGUUCCUGUUCGAGGCCGAGGCAGGGGCGGCGUCCAUUCCAUUUGAGCACCUUACUGUCCAGAACUGGGACAUUACAUUCGACAAUGGAGCAAAAUACGCUAUAGCUGUUACAUCGCCCACCUGUGUACCCGUCUUCGCAGCAUAUUAUAACAAAGAAAUCGGCUUCUUGAUUGAGAAUUUCUUCGAUAUUCACGCCGGUAUUUCUGACCCCAGCGUUUUCAUUCCGCCUGCCGAGUGCGCCGGUCUUUAAUCGUGUGCAUUACAUUACUUUCUUGUAUUAUGAUUGUUCAAAUUAAUAAAAACAGUAGAUACAUAAUAAAAUUGACUUUGUAACACAUGGAUAA